GAUGAACUCUGGCGGCGUGCCUAAUACAUGCAAGUCGAGCGAACGGACGAGAAGCUUGCUUCUCUGAUGUUAGCGGCGGACGGGUGAGUAACACGUGGAUAACCUACCUAUAAGACUGGGAUAACUUCGGGAAACCGGAGCUAAUACCGGAUAAUAUUUUGAACCGCAUGGUUCAAAAGUGAAAGACGGUCUUGCUGUCACUUAUAGAUGGAUCCGCGCUGCAUUAGCUAGUUGGUAAGGUAAAGGCUUACCAAGGCAACGAUGCAUAGCCGACCUGAGAGGGUGAUAGGCCACACUGGAACUGAGACACGGUCCAGACUCCUACGGGAGGCAGCAGUAGGGAAUCUUCCGCAAUGGGCGAAAGCCUGACGGAGCAACGCCGCGUGAGUGAUGAAGGUCUUCGGAUCGUAAAACUCUGUUAUUAGGGAAGAACAUAUGUGUAAGUAACUGUGCACAUCUUGACGGUACCUAAUCAGAAAGCCACGGCUAACUACGUG
rnacentral:rRNA from 1 species